rnacentral:sRNA from 2 species
UAUCCCCCAAACUAAGGGGGGAUGAGAACCACCGACCGGGGUUCGACAACUGGUGCAGCCAGUUGGACAGACGACGAGCUUGCGAGGAGACUGCCCGAAGGGCGAGCGCAGCGAGUCAAUCCCCCCCUCACCGCCA